GACGAACGCUGGCGGCGUGCCUAACACAUGCAAGUUGAGCGACGAACCAGGGCUUGCCCUGGGGCAAAGCAGCGAACGGGUGAGUAACACGUGGGUAACCUACCCCGAUAACCGGGACAACCCGAGGAAACUCGGGCUAAUACCGGAUGUGCUCACUGAACUUCGGUUCAGUGCGUAAAGGAAGCUUCGGCCUCCGUAUCGGGAGGGGCCCGCGGCCCAUUAGCUAGUUGGUGAGGUAACGGCUCACCAAGGCCGCGAUGGGUAGCUGGUCUGAGGGGACGAUCAGCCACACUGGGACUGAGACACGGCCCAGACUCCUACGGGAGGCAGCAGUGGGGAAUCUUGCGCAAUGCGCGAAAGCGUGGCGCAGCAACGCCGCGUGGGGGAAGAAGGCCUUCGGGUUGUAAACCCCUUUCAGGAGGGACGAAGGUUCGGCGGUGAAUAGCCGUCCGGACUGACGGUACCUCCACAAGAAGCCCCGGCUAACUACGUGCCAGCCGCCGCCGUAA
rnacentral:rRNA from 1 species